CCACAUAGUUGGAGAUUUGAAAUUCUUACAUCUUGUACAGAUACUACAUUGGAGAUUAUAAAUCCUUACAUCUCGCAUAUAGACUACAUUGCUUCAUCACAUGGUCCUAACUCCUAACUAAUCAUGCUGAUGUAUUUUGGUGAUCGUCUUUGAAUGUCCAACCAGGAAAAUCCAACUCUGAAAACAGACAAGCGGGAGUCGUUUUGUAGAAUGCCAAUGGCACCUGUUUGACCCUUCGCCUAAUCUGAAUUCUGCUUCUUACAGCCAAAUCAUUCACCACAGACAAAGCGAAUCUGAUCAAAUGAGACGAAUACAAUAGUCAACAGUAGAAAGAAAGUUGAAGACAUGGCCAGGAUACAGGCAAUAGCAGUAGACAGAAGACAGUGAGGGAAU